GUAGGUGGCAAGCGUUGUCCGGAAUUAUUGGGCGUAAAGCGCGCGCAGGUGGGUUCUUUAAGUCUGAUGUGAAAGCCCCCGGGCUCAACCGGGGAGGGUCAUUGGAAACUGGGGAACUUGAGUGCAGGAGAGGAAAGUGGAAUUCCACGUGUAGCGGUGUAAUGCGUAGAUAUGUGGAGAAACACCAGUGGCGAAGGCGACUUUCUGGCCUGUAACUGACACUGAGGCGCGAAAGCGUGGGGAGCAAACAGGAUUAGAUACCCUGGUAGUCCACGCCGUAAACGAUGAGUGCUAAGUGUUGGGGGGUUUCCGCCCCUCAGUGCUGCAGCUAACGCAUUAAGCACUCCGCCUGGGGAGUACGGUCGCAAGACUG
rnacentral:rRNA from 1 species